GAUGAACGCUGACAGAAUGCUUAACACAUGCAAGUCUACUUGAACUUCGGUUUGGGUGGCGGACGGGUGAGUAACGCGUAAAGAACUUGCCUCACAGAUAGGGACAACAUUUGGAAACGAAUGCUAAUACCUGAUAUUAUGAUUUUAGGGCAUCCUAGAAUUAUGAAAGCUAUAUGCACUGUGAGAGAGCUUUGCGUCCCAUUAGCUAGUUGGAGAGGUAACGGCUCACCAAGGCGAUGAUGGGUAGCCGGCCUGAGAGGGUGAUCGGCCACAAGGGGACUGAGACACGGCCCUUACUCCUACGGGAGGCAGCAGUGGGGAAUAUUGGACAAUGGACCAAGAGUCUGAUCCAGCAAUUCUGUGUGCACGAUGAAGUUUUUCGGAAUGUAAAGUGCUUUCAGUCGGGAAGAAAAAAAUGACGGUACCAACAGAAGAAGAGACGGCUAAAUACGUG
rnacentral:rRNA from 1 species